AAUACGUUCCCGGACCUUGCACACACCGCCCGUCAAGCCAUGGAAGUGGGGUGUACCUUAAGACGAUCACCGCAAGGAAUUGUCCAAAGGUAAAACUCGUAACUGGGGCU
rnacentral:rRNA from 1 species